rnacentral:piRNA from 1 species
UAAUCCUUUGAAAUUAUAUUC